rnacentral:rRNA from 1 species
UACGGGGGGGGCAAGCGUUGUUCGGAUUUACUGGGCGUAAAGGGCUCGUAGGUGGCCAAUUAAGUCGGACGUGAAAUCCCCAGGCUCAACUUGGGAACUGCGUCUGAUACUGGUUGGCUUGAAUUCGGGAGGGGGAUGCAGAAUUCCAGGUGUAGCGGUGAAAUGCGUAGAUAUUGGGAGGAACACCGGUGGCGAAGGCGGCCCCCUGGACCGGUACUGACGCUGAGGCGCGAAAGCGUGGGUAGCAAACGGG